AAUAAACGCUGGCGGCGUGCCUAACACAUGCAAGUCGAGCGAGAAAAGGGGAGCAAUCCCCUGAGUACAGCGGCGCACGGGUGAGUAACACGUGGGUAAUCUGCCCUGGAGUGGGGAAUAACACCGGGAAACCGGUGCUAAUACCGCAUACGAUAGCGAGGUCUGCGGACUUUGUUAUGAAAGGAGCAAUUCGCUUUAGGAGGAGCCCGCGGCUGAUUAGCUAGUUGGUGAGGUAACGGCUCACCAAGGCGACGAUAAGUAGCCGGUCUGAGAGGACGGUCGGCCACACUGGAACUGAGACACGGUCCAGACUCCUACGGGAGGCAGCAGUGGGGAAUUUUUGGCAAUGGGGGAAACCCUGACCAAGCAACGCCGCGUGGGUGAUGAAGUCUCUUGGGACGUAAAACCCUUUCGACGGGGAAGAAACCGCAAGGUUGACGGUACCCGUAGAAGAAGCCCCGGCUAACUCCGUGCCAGCCGCCGCCGUAACAC
rnacentral:rRNA from 1 species